AACGCCAGCUCUGUUCAUUUUCACUACUUCUCAGACAGACCUUCGAUUAUCUUGAUUUUCAGCAGUCAAAAACUUAGAUUCUAGCUUACUAGGAUUGUAUCUGAAACAGAACAAAACUAGAGAGGAGACAGAAAGUUACGGCAAGUCAACAAAAGUCAUCCAAAGAGCUCUCUCGCACUCUCUCUCUCACGCUCUCUCCCUCACGCUCUCUCUCUCUUCUCCCCUUUGCAACAGGAAGUGAAUGCUUGUAUGCAAUUGUUAUGUGCACUCCAGAAAUUAGGGGUUAAAGAAGGGUUCUUCUAAGAUCCUCAAAGUUCUUUGAAGAACCUUAGUGUUAUUGGCACUGAAUAUUGUCCAGAAAAGUUUUGUCCAAGAACCCCAUAGGAGGUGGGGUUCAUCGAGGAACCUCCGUAGUUGGUGGGGGGUUCUUGCAGGAACCUAACUGCCCAACUGAAACAUUUGGAUUUGAAUUUGAAAGGACAGCAGGUGCAGGCAGGUGCAACUUCAAAAUGAAAUGAACACAAUUCAAUGGAUAUCAAUCAACAAAGAGGUAAUACAGAUGAGGAGGCAUACAAAGGUAUGUCAAUAGGUAUUGGUAUGUUAUGCAGAUCAUCCUCCUCCCUUACUUCUUCAAUUAAAAUAUCAUAGGCCUCUACGUUAUGGACAAGGUAUGUGCAUGAAUACCAUUAUCAAAACAGUUUUUUUUUCAUUCAUAUUUACCACAAAAACCAAGGUAAAAAUAGUGUUGUAUGCAUGUUUUUGUUAAUCAUCUGUAUAACUACUAUUUUUGGGAUUCACAGACUUCACCCUCCCUACACCUCUGAUUAAUAUAUCAGGAAACCUGUUCGAUCACCAUACACUGCAAAAUCAUUCGGCCUAUGGACACGGAGAACAUCAACACAUUAACAUCAACAGGACAAAGGAUAUACACAUUGGACUUGGGGCUCUGCUGGGAGUUUGCCUCAUAUUUAGAGGUUUUUUAUUCUGCUUUGCCACUAAAAUCAUAAUAAACACUGACAACUAAAAUAUUGUAUUAUUGUUAUGCGUAUUAUAAUUAUUAUUAAUAAUAAUUGGGGAGGGGGUAGUUCAAAAAUGAACCCCAAAAGGUUCUUCAAAAGGUUAUUUGAGGAUCCGUUAAAAGGGGUUCUUUGAAGAACUUAAGCGGUUCCCACCCAGUUUCAGUUUGAAGAACCCCUCAAGGAUACUCCAGAAACCUUCUAUUUUUAGAGUGUGGUUAUACUGUAAGCCUAUCAAAGAUGGUGGAUGAAUGAAGAUGUCUUACUCAGGCAGUUUACCAUUGGAAAAAUGGUCAAGGUUCCUGUCUGUGUAAGUUGGCGUUCCCAUGUGAGACCAAUGGCUCUGGUCUACUUAUUGUCUCUCCCCGCUCUCCCCACCUGCAGGUGGGAAAUAAGUAGACCACAGUGGCGCCGCCCCCAGAGUGGGAUGUCUUGCUUUCUCUACAGCCUCUGGAUCUAUACUGUAUUACUUACCCCUAAAUGUACCUAUUGGUGCUUUGUUUCCAUCCCACAUAAUUGAUUUUUAAAGACAAUACAUAGGCCAGUACCUAAAUUAUUUUUACAAAACCACACACACAAUGGUUUUGACUUGUAGAUAUGACUGAAUGAUUUUGUCACGUUGUUUCUUAUUGUGUUGCUGUAAGCCUAUGUGUAGGCCCAUGUUUUGUCUAUUACAAUAAAUUGUUUGAACUAAAGUAUCUCAUUUGAAAUGAAUAAUAUGAAAAGCCAUGUUUGUGUAUAUUUGACAGGUUUGGAUGAGCGCAUCAGUGGUACUUUGUGUGGAACCUUGAUGAUAAGGACCAGAGAAUAUAGCUCGU